rnacentral:rRNA from 1 species
CAGCCGCCGCGGUAAUACGUAGGUGGCAAGCGUUGUCCGGAAUUAUUGGGCGUAAAGCGCGCGCAGGUGGUUUAAUAAGUCUGAUGUGAAAGCCCACGGCUCAACCGUGGAGGGUCAUUGGAAACUGUUAAACUUGAGUGCAGGAGAGAAAAGUGGAAUUCCUAGUGUAGCGGUGAAAUGCGUAGAGAUUAGGAGGAACACCAGUGGCGAAGGCGGCUUUUUGGCCUGUAACUGACACUGGGGCGCGAAAGCGUGGGGAGCAAACAGGAUUAGAUACCCGAGUAGUCCCUGUCUCUUAUAC